UUCUAGAGAGGUCCUAAAUGUUACGUUUUUCUCUUCUUUAACUUUUAAAAUCGAGGUGGCCACUUUAAGUGUGAACACUUAACCUUGCCUGUUGACUUAGGUAUUGAUCAGAGCAUCACAACAGGGUUUUUACUUCACUUCUUUUUACUGCAUUUCCUCAAAGGGUUACGAGAUUUAUUUGAAAAACUCCCAGAUGUGCAAAGCUGGCUGGUACCAGGCAACUGCAGGAUAAGCACCUCAAUGAAAGGUGCUACAGCAGGACUGGGAUUUGGACCUGGGACAUUUCAACUAGAAGGCAACAGACUGAACUACAAAGCCACCUGCUGCCCAUUUGUUUAACAUUACAUCUCUCAUUGAUGUUAACCUGCAACCUGAAGGAUCAAGAAGAAUCACUUACAAAGCAACAAGCCAAGGUGCUGACUUCUGAGUUUCCCCAGAUUAGUCUUCCAGUUGAGUGUGUCCACGCAGGGCCAUACGACC